rnacentral:rRNA from 1 species
UACGUAGGGUGCGAGCGUUAAUCGGAAUUACUGGGCGUAGAGCGUGCGCAGGCGGUUAUGUAAGACAGAUGUGAAAUGCCCGGGCUUAACCUGGGAACUGCAUUUGUGACUGCAUGGCUAGAGUGUGUCAGAGGGGGGUAGAAUUCCAGGUGUAGCGGUGAAAUGCGUAGAUAUCUGGAGGAACACCGGUGGCGAAGGCGGCAUCCUGGACCGACACUGACGCUGAGGAGCGAAAGCCAGGGGAGCAAACGGG